CUCGGUGUCCGGAUAGCUCGCCUGUUAGCGUGUGUGCCUUUCCGUCAGCCCAGCCUGGAGGAUAAAAGCUUUACCGGAGUCGGUUCUGUGGUCAUCUUGUUCACCAACACUCACGUUUUCCGUAGUCCACACUCUUAGCUCUGAAUCUCUGGGCAGAUUAGUAAGCACCUCGGGAAUCACCCCAGGUUUUUAGAGCGGAGCGCAGGUCCCCCAAAGAUGCUGGUUCCCCAAAGAUGCCAUCAUCCCUAGAAAGCAAGAAGCAGUCUAUAGAACAUGACACCCACAUUCCCAAGAGUUUACAGGACUGGCCUGACAUAACAACACCAUUUCCCAUUGAGUGAGAAGUUACCUGAAGACAUCACAGAAGGCAUGCUCCUCAAACGUGGAGAGUAAAGAGGUCAUUUAUCAA